AUUUCACUGAAGCCACUGCAGGAAAGGAUACGUUCUCUUUCAGAUUCUUUGAAGCUUAGCUGAGGCUUGGUGCCUUGAUGCAAUUUUAAGGAAGAAGAGGAUAACUUUACCCUAAGAUUGUUGCCAAAAUACUCACUUCUGGCACUUUCUAGAAUCCCUGCUUAGAGUUUAAAUAUUUUUUUUUUUAGAUUGACUUUUGUCAUUAAUCUCCAUCACAGUGCGUACUUUGUCCUUUGACAACCUAAGAAAUGUUUUUGUCCACUUUUGGUCAAUAGCAACUGUGGAGGCAAAUCUGAGCUGCAUUUACUUUAUGAUCCUUCCUAAGUGCUUUCACUGUUGCCAUAUCAGUGUUGGCCUUAAAGUGGACAUUCUCUUGGGCCAAAGACCCAGUUUGCCCUAGCAUCUGAUGCCCCAUUAUUACUUCUGGUGAGGAGUAACAUUAUAUGUUACAUUUUGACAAGGUUAUUUGUCAACUUGGUCCUUGUAGCUGAAUAUAUUUACAUCUGGAAUGAAUAGGCACUUUCUUUUGAGAGUUUCAUUCUUUUUUAAAUGGGAGAUGGUUUUGUUGUCACUAUGUCUUUACCAGAGGUCCGUGUUUAUUUGCCAUGCAAUGUGAUGCAUUGGGUAUUGUCAUCCUGAUUCCUAUAGUGUCUUAUCAAUAGGCACUUCACGCUUGCACAUCUUUACAACUGGAGGUACAUUAGGGGGAAUCAAAAGCUCGCCUCUGUGUGUCACCUGCAGAUGCUGUAUCAUCACAGGCACAGAGACGGAAAGAUUGCACCCUGCACUUAACACAGAGAAACCUGAAGUAACUUGUGUUACUGUCUCACGAUCCUGGAAUCACAUGAAUAAAGCUGAAGUGGCAGGAACUAGAGGGCUUGACACAUCCCUUGCAUCUUCCAUUUACUCUGACCACAGUCCCUCCCUGUUCUCACAAGUGGAGCUAAGCCCUGCUUCCCUUCCUCUUGAUUCCCAGCCAGCUACAUGCAGUGGUUGGCAGUUUUCCUCAACUCCGUGA
rnacentral:lncRNA from 1 species